GACGAACGCUGGCGGCGUGCUUAACACAUGCAAGUCGAACGGUAAGGCCCCAGCUUGCUGGGGUACACGAGUGGCGAACGGGUGAGUAACACGUGGGUGACCUGCCCCGCACUUCGGGAUAAGCCUGGGAAACUGGGUCUAAUACCGGAUAGGACCGCACCGUGAGGGUGUGGUGGAAAGUUUUUCGGUGUGGGAUGGGCCCGCGGCCUAUCAGCUUGUUGGUGGGGGAAUGGCCUACCAAGGCGGCGACGGGUAGCCGGCCUGAGAGGGUGGACGGCCACAUUGGGACUGAGACACGGCCCAGACUCCUACGGGAGGCAGCAGUGGGGAAUAUUGCACAAUGGGCGGAAGCCUGAUGCAGCGACGCCGCGUGGGGGAUGACGGCCUUCGGGUUGUAAACUCCUUUCACCAUCGACGAAGGUUUUCUGACGGUAGAUGGAGAAGAAGCACCGGCUAACUACGUG
rnacentral:rRNA from 1 species